rnacentral:rRNA from 1 species
UACGGAGGGUGCAAGCGUUGUCCGGAUUUAUUGGGCGUAAAGGGCGCGUAGGCGGCUCUGCACGUCCGUUGUGGAAAUCGCCCGGCUCAACUGGGCGGGGUCAGCGGAUACGGCGGAGCUUGAGCAAGCUAGGGGGCAAUGGAAUUCCCGGUGUAGUGGUGGAAUGCGUAGAUAUCGGGAGGAACACCAGUGGCGAAGGCGGGACUCUGGGCCGAUACUGACGCUGAGGAGCGAAAAGCGUGGGGAGCAAACAGGG